GGAAGCAUCGAUGUCUUGGCUGCUUACUCUGUCCCCACCUGAGGUACAGCCUCAGAAGGGCAGGGACAUUGGCUUGCUCACUGUUGAAGCCCCAGGACCUUGCACAGUGCCUGACACACAGUGGGUCUCAACAAGUGUGGGUGAGUCACUCAGUGCAGGACAUCACUUAUCCCGGAGCUGUCACCAGCAUGACCUCAGCCCAUCAGCAGGAAACCGCAGCGUUUUACUAUCUCUGUUGCACAGAUGAGGCUCGGUCACAUACCAGCCACAGAAGGCUUGCGGGAGAAGGAAGCCAUGGUGUCCAUCCUCUGCCUCCAAGCUGGGAUCAGCAUCAAAGAUCUUGGGGUCCAGCCUACGGGGCCCUCGACCAGGUCUGGUCACAGACAGG
rnacentral:lncRNA from 1 species